rnacentral:rRNA from 1 species
UUCGGAGAGGGAGCCUGAGAAACGGCUACCACAUCUACGGAUGGCAGCAGGCGCGCAAAUUACCCAAUGCAGACACUGUGAGGUAGUGACGAGAAAUAAUAAAGCGGGACUUCUGUUUCGCUAUUAUAAUGAGUAACAACCAAAGGUCGUUACGAUUAGCAACUGAUGGGAAAGUCUGGUGCCAGCAGCCGCGGUAAUACCAGCGUCAGUAGCAUAUAUUAAAAUUGUUGCAGUUAAAACGUCCGUAGUCUGUACGUCGUCCCAAACUCACUGCAGUCUUGCGUCUUCUUCACUGAAUGCGCAAGUAUCUGCAGUCACUCCCUUGAUCAAAUUAGGUUGUUCAAGGUAGACAGAGUCUUCAUAUUUUCACAUGGAAUUGGGUGAGGGAACUUAAGAGUUUAAGUUUCUCGUCUUAGGAUCAUCCGGGGUCAUUCGUACUCGUCCGCGAGAGGUGGAAUUCUUGGACCGGACGAAGACGACCAGCAGCGAAAGCAUCUGUCAGGGAUGUUUUCUGCGACAAAGGACGAAGGUCAGGGUAUCGAAGACGAUUAGAUACCGUCGUAGUCCUGACUGUAAACUAUGCCAACUUGGGUCUUGCUGGGCUAAUGCUUUGUGAGACCCACACAGAAAUGAAAGUGUAUGGGUUCUGGGGGUAGUAUGGACACAAGUCUGAAACUUGAAGGAAUUGACGGAAGAGCACCAUAAGACGUGGAGCUUGCGGCUUAAUUUGACUCAACGCGGGAAAACUUACCAGGUCAAGACAUGGGCGUGAUUGACAGGCUAAUGACUUUUCUCGAUUCCAUGGAUGGUGGUGCAUGGUCGCACUUAGUUGGUGCAGUGAUUUGUCAGGUUUAUUCCGGUAACGAACGAGACCUC